rnacentral:tRNA from 1 species
GAUGACACCGAUUGAAAUUCGGUAGAGCAGCUCAUUCGUAAUGAGCAGGUCGUCGGUUUGAGUCCGACUAUCAGCUCCA